rnacentral:lncRNA from 1 species
GUGGGUGCCAUGGGUAAUUAUCUAAACUUUCUUAACAUCAGUUUCUACCUCUGUAAGGUGAUAAUUAUGUAACUUCAUCUGCUUAUGAGGAUGAAAGACAAUAAUAUAUGUAAAGCACUUAGCCCUGGAAAAAUGGAAGUGCUCAAUCAACCAUGUCUGCUAUUGCUGCUCUUAUUGGUAUUAACAUAAUUUUUCUGACAUGGGCAUAGAUAUACUUCAGCAUUUUUUCUUGGUUAUAGCUUUAUUUUUCCCCCCAGUACUGGGGAUCAAACCCAGAGCCUCAAACACAUGCUAGGCAGAGUUCUCUACUCCAGAGCUACAUCCCCAGCUCUAUAGAUUUCUCUCUUUGAAGGGAGGUUAAGAAAGGCAUAAGUAAAUCUUUCUGACCUGAAGUUGCUCUAAAGUCAGACAGGUCUGGAUUCAAUUCCUCGCUCUACUUUUUACAGUUUCCUCAUCUGUAAAAUGCAGCCAAGUGUAAUGCCUACCUCCAAAGAUAAUCAAUAAGAUAAUCAAUGUGAAGUGCUUAGCACUUAGUGCUUUAGGUACCUCUGACGGGGUGGGGGGGUUAGGCCCUAAAAGUCCUGGAAGAAGACCACCCUCUGUCCCAGCCUCACACUUUCUCCUAUUCUCUCCCCUCUGUCCUUCAUUUAAGGAGUACUAAUACAGGAACCAAGGGCUUUUCCCAGAUAUCCACACUUAGUGUAGUGUGUAUUCACACUUAGUGUAGUGUGACUGACAUCGAGAAGGUACUCAAUAAAUGGUGGCUAUGGUACUCAUAAUGAAAGUAAUGAUAGAAAUAAUAGUAAAAACUACUACCACCACCACCCUUGGGAUACAGGGUUGAAUUCAUUUAGUUGGUAGGAGAGGCAUCAGUUGCUGUCCCUGAAGAGACAGCAAAGAAAUGUUGGGCUUAUCAGACAGUGGCUAGCACUUGAAAACCAAGUUGUUUUCUUGGAGGUGUGACUUAAAAUGAUUCAGUAGAGCAUAAUUCUCAACAAAAAGAUUCUAUUUAUUUUGCCAUCCCCUUGACGUGCAAGAAACUUAAAGGAAAAAAUGGGAUUCUAAAGUAACCCUGUACUUCUGACAAUCUAUUUCAGUUAGUCACCCACGACAUCUUGCCUGAAGCUUCAGUAGGAGCAUCUGGGUAUGAAAGAUGUAAAGUCCCUGUUCUUCUUUGCCAAGUUGGUGUUCCUUCUCAAAUGGACACCCCCUAACUUCUUGAGCCUCUUAGUGGGUGUAGGAUUAAUUUGCUGAGUAUAAUACAGACGUACAGGUAUAAUGGUGGUUCUCAAGGAUGUGAUGUUAGAGUAGGUGGACUUGUGCAUGGUGGACUGAUAUUAUCAAAUAGAAGUUUAAAAAAACCUGAGUGUUCCUGCUGGUUCUGGUGAUGAAUCCGUUUGGUGAGGGAAGUAUAUUGAGAUGUUUCUUUGGAUUUCCCUCUGUUUUUCUCUUUUUUAAUAGUCCUUUAAAAGCCUAAUAAAAGAAAAGGUCAGUCACUGCAAGUAAAGCCAAGUGUCAGGUUUUCUUUCCUUCCCUGAACACGUAAGGGUAGGAGGGUGCAAGCCAGUUUCCAGGGGGGUGUUCACUGCAACCCAUGAGGUGCCCCCCUCUGCCUCAGCCUCAUGCUUUCUCCUACUCUCUCCCCUCUGCCCUUCAUUUAAGAAGUACUAACACAGGAACCAAGGGUUUUUCCCCAGGAAUUUUCUUGUAAUAUCUCCCAGGUAUCCAUUUUCUUUUUUACAGUAGGUUCUGAGGUUAUAGAAAUGAAAAGGGAUUUCAAUAUUGGACAAAGAUUUAGGGAUAGUUGCUGAUAAUCUAGAAAAAUAUCCCUUCUCUUUUUUAGAUUCUUUCUACUUUUAAAAAUAUUUAUUUAUUUUACUUAUACACCUUUGUUUUUAAUUAUUUACUUUUACUUGGUCCUGAGGAUUGAAUCCAGGGCCUUGGAGGCGCUAGGUGAGUGCUCUACUGCUGAGCCACAAC